rnacentral:rRNA from 1 species
AUGUUGAGGACCUCCCUCUAUGCGGACGAUGCGGCUGUCUUCUUGGCUCCGAUCAAAAAGGAUGUUGACAACCUGGCAAGCAUUUUGAAGGGGUUCGGGGAGGUCACAGGCCUUUGCACCAACUUCCAAAAAAGCUCGGCGGUGCCCAUUCGUUGCAACCACCUGGAUUUGGGUCGCCUAACUCAAAGUUUGCCGGCUGCACAGACCUCUUUCCCACUGCGAUACUUGGGGCUCCCCCUCUCUGUUUGGAAGCUAAAGUUGGUGGAUCUCCAAUUUCUCGUGGACAAAGUUGCAAGCAAGUUAUCAACGUAUGAUGGCCAAAACAUCACCACCAUUGGACGUACGGCCCUUGUCAAGUCCGUGAUCACUUCCCAAGUGGUCUACCCCGCCACCCCGUUGGUCAUCCCACCAACCAUACUUCACAGCGUCAACAAGCUCGAGAGAGCUUUCCUUUGGUCCGUUCGGACAAGACAACGGGGGCCAAAUGCAAGGUGA